rnacentral:lncRNA from 1 species
CGCGGCGCGGUGGGGCUCGGCCGGCCGCGGCUCCUUGACAGGCGGAGGGGGACGGGCGCCCCCUCCCCCGCCGUGGGCGAACCGAGCCGUCUUUUAUCGCAGUUUCCCCGGCCCGCGGCGGCCGUCUUCCCGUGACAAGAAACUUGAGGUCGGGGGAAAAUUGAGGACCCGGCGUAGCGGGUGCCUCCGGUCCGACACGCGGACAGUCCUCCCCGCGGGACCCAGCCGUGUGUAUUGUCGUCUCUGACGCCAAAGCGGGAGAUGCCCUCGCGAUGUGAGUCUGUCUACGCCGCCCUCCGGCUCCGCGCCCCUGGGUCCCGGCAGAGGUAGCACUGACCCGGGUCUGGCUUUUCCAAUUUGGGCAAGAUGGGGCGGGGGCAGGCUUUUGAGGUUUUAGCGGGCUCCUAGGAAAGAUGCUGGACUUUCGCUUUUUGCUCGGGAUUUUGGUCGUUUGCUCUCACGGUGUCGUCCUUUCUUGGGGGGCGGGGGGGGGCGGGGGAGUGUUCUUGGGUGAGAUGAAAGAUGGGGCUUCGACCUUGCGAUUUCCUUCUCCCAGCCGCACGUUUCUUAGAAGACUUUUUCCUUCUCCAGCCUUUGAAACAUGUCGCAAGGGGAAAAAGGCAAUCUUUGAAACUGUUGAUGUUUUCCUCCCGAAAAGUCUUUCCCCGGAGAACUUAACGGUUUUGACCUUUAGGAGAGAGCCAGUUCUGGAGAACAAGCUAACUUCUUUGAUUGAACAUAUAAUGCAUUGGAACAUAAUAGGAGAUUAAGGUUAUUAAUAAAAUGAAGACCAUAGUAUAACA